UUUUUGGGGACGUGGUAGUACUGGAAGUAUCUGAGUAGCAGUUGCUUUAAGAUGAAUGUUUAGGGAAAUAAAAGCUUAGUGUCUUAACGUGGCUGAACAUUUACCAAGAUGGUUAAAAUUCUAGACUGGUUUUCUACAAAGAUCCUGGUGUAAAACGUGAUGCUGAUGUGGGCCUCAUUUCAAAGUAUGAUACCAAGAGUAAAUUGAUGAACUAUAGGCAACUUGAUGAAGAUGUCAUUUUAACAUGGAUGAGAGACAAAACGAGGGAACUGUGACAUCUUUGCAUGGGUAGUUAAUUUUAUUUAAGACCUGAUAUUGUAGCCUGUUAAGUUCCUCAUAAUAUAAAACCAAGGAACACUGGGUGGUACCCAUGAAUAAUUUAUUUCACUUGUGAAAAUGCCAGCACAAGUCGACUUUGCAGAACCACCGAGUGGAUUUUCAUCACAGUGGUGCCUGGAAAGAAUCGGUCAUCAAAGAUGCAGGGGGAAUUCUAAUCUCACAUGCAUAAUGCCAGAUACUUCUUUUCAUUUUAAAAUCCAUGUCUCUUGUGUAUCUCAGAGGAGAAUUUUCUGAGAUACAGAAGACUGACUAGUGCCUGGGUAGGUGGGUGUCAAGAAUGCUACAUGUAGACAUGGAGGCAGGGAGUCCUCGGAGAGCCUCCUCCAAACCCACAGAAGCACGCAGGCUGUUAACACCCCAGAGGAACAGACAGAUCUGACAGCGGUCACCACGCUGAAGGACUUUUCAGGUAUACUUUUCUUGUUUAAAAACAAGCUUAAAAGCAAGUAAAAUUAGA
rnacentral:lncRNA from 1 species